rnacentral:rRNA from 1 species
UACAGAGGUCUCAAGCGUUGUUCGGAUUCAUUGGGCGUAAAGGGUGCGUAGGCGGCCUAUUAAGUCAGUGCUGAAAUAUCCCGGCUUAACCGGGAGGGUGGCAUUGAUACUGAUGGGCUUGAGUAGAGUUGAGGUUGGCGGAAUUGACGGUGUAGCGGUGAAAUGCUUAGAUAUCGUCAAGAACACCUAUUGCGAAGGCAGCUAACUAAGCUCAAACUGACGCUGAGGCACGAAAGUGUGGGGAUCAAACAGG